AUAAGGUAUACAGAGAACGGAAGCAGACUUAUGAUAUAAU
rnacentral:guide_RNA from 1 species